CUCAAGGCAAAAGCUCUGUAUUUCCCCAGGCUCCGACACGUGUCAUGGCCAGAAGGAGGGAUGCUGGGUUGGGUCCUGGAGCUCCCUCUGCGAGAGAAGUUAAGAAAGUUUACAGCUUUGUCUUGAGACAUUUGCUGAAGUCAUGUUUCAAGAGGCAAAUCACAUCUGCUGCAACAUGAACCGACCACCAGGCAGUAAGAUGCACAGGUUCUCAGGCUCUGAGACCCUAUGGGAAAUUGCCUAUAGGGCCCCACAGCCUGGGAAACUGGCCUAGAGGUUUUAUGAAGUGACUAAUAUCCUACAGGGAACAGCCGGGUCCCAGGACUUGCAUCAUGGUCAGCAGACCGGCCCCUCUCUGAGCAACACCCUUGGGAUUAUUCACGUCCAUCUGGAAGAAACUAGUCUCUGAGUUUGAUUCAGGACUUCUUUCUCUUUCCCACCUCUUACCCCAGCCAUGUAAUUUGCACAUCGUUUUAUAUUUUCUAUUGGGAAAUCACAAAGCAUCUAAAAGGCAAGCAGUGGUUCUCAAGCUGCAGCCAAAGGAUCAGCUUGUUUUACUCAAGUGAAACCAGAACCCAGGCUGGAGCCUCGCAGAGAGGAGGGAUUUGGAAAAUACUCCUUGAGUGGAAUUCAGUGAUUUGUUUAAGAAACACCAGAGGCUUUCGCACAAUCCCUUUUUCCUGAAGCCAACUCUGCUGAGGAUGUGAUGUGGAUACGGAUUACAGGGACCAUCCUCCAUUGUUUUAUGAGUCUAUCACAGAUUAUGACGGACAUGGAACAUGGAAACCAGUUUCUACCAAAGCCUGUGAGGACCAUUCUGUACAAAUUGGGAGAGAGUGCACAGAAGCCUGGAGAGCUGACCGGGGAGGAGGGCCACAGUGCAUUGCGUCCAGCCCUCUUCCACCCUUGCACUCUUAGCUGCUCUCAUCCCCGUCUGCUCACACCUUGCUUACAGUUCUUAUCAAAUAUCUGGAACACAGAAGAGCUUAUUACAUGUUGUGUGGAUGGAUUAAGCUUGCUAAGCUAUUUGGAAACAGGAAGAAAAAGCAUGCCCAGAAUUUGGAGACCACCCAUGGAAAGGCAUGACCUCCACUGGGUGUUCAGGACUUGAGGUGGUCAGUAUUUCUGCUCCUUCCCAGCAGACCAACUUGCUCCCACUCAGCCCCAUGGCUUGCCUUCUCUUCCUUGGAAAUCUUCUUACAUGCCUCUUGUUGCCUGGCCAUCCCAGGAAGGAAGCACCCAUGUCUUCUACACUCCCAGUUGCUUAAAACAAAUAUGCUUCCCCUGCUCAGAUAACCAUUGGCAGGGCUAAGGAUCCUAAAAACCAUGGGUUUUUAAUACCGGGAAAGUGCUACUCUGUAGGGAUCCUCUAGCCCACCAUUGUUUCCUUUAUGGAAACUGAGGCUUGGAGAAUGCAAGUGGCUCUCUCAAAGCUUCAUAAAAUUCACUGGGAGGUCUGGGCUGGAGUCCAGGUGUUUUGAUUCAUUUGUCAUUGCUCUUUAUAGUCUGGAUUUAUAGAUGCAUAUUUCUAUGUAGACUUGUUGAUAAACUUUACAUUGACACCUAAGACAUUAUAUUUCCUUUUCUAUCAAGACAAUGUUUAAAGCAAGACAAACAACUAAAGAAAACCAAAAUAAUGUGGUUUACAUGCUAGGAGAAGAACAGUCUUGUAGCCAACAUAAAUGAGCUCUCAUGGAAACCUCUGCCCGCCAAGAACACUUAACCUCCACGAAUGACAUCUGUGCCACAAGGGUGGAGCUCGAAGUCCCAGUCUGCCUCUGGCUGGAGCCCUCAAGAAGGUAGAGACCUGCUUAAACCUCCAAAAGUCAAUUUUCUACACCAGCAGCAUACAGGGGAAAGAAAGUAGAACAAAUUAAAGAGAAAACAAAUCAAAGGAUGAAGGGGAAGAGGAAAUCCCUCUCAUAUGGAGCAGACAUGGAGGCAAAGUUGAGCA
rnacentral:lncRNA from 1 species